UACGUAGGGUGCGAGCGUUGUCCGGAAUUAUUGGGCGUAAAGGGCUCGUAGGCGGUUUGUCGCGUCGGGAGUGAAAACCUACAGCUUAACUGUGGGCUUGCUUUCGAUACGGGCAGACUAGAGGUAUGCAGGGGAGAACGGAAUUCCUGGUGUAGCGGUGGAAUGCGCAGAUAUCAGGAGGAACACCGGUGGCGAAGGCGGUUCUCUGGGCAUUACCUGACGCUGAGGAGCGAAAGCAUGGGGAGCGAACAGG
rnacentral:rRNA from 1 species